CCCUGGUGGCUCAGAAGGUAAAGAACCUGCCUAUAAGGCAGGAGAUCCUGGUUUGAUCCCUGGAUCAGGAA
rnacentral:tRNA from 1 species